AGGACCCUGGGAUCACGACCUGAGCCCAAGGCAGAGGCUUAACCAACUGAGCCACCCAGGCGCCCAUCAAAGAAUUUUCUUACCACAUGUCCCUCUGCUCUGAGGCCAACACCAGGAUGGGUUUGCAAGUCUCUGCAGGUCACUACAGGAGGCAGAGAUGCAGAUGUCUUCUUCUGAAAGAAUUCACCUCUACAGACUUAAGACUGCUUGCUGGAAACAUCCGCGAAUUCUCUGAGAAGACCCAAGGGAAGACCAGAAGUGUUUGCAAGUGAAUCCUAGGGGAGCAUUUCUCAGCCACCGACCGUGUGGAGAUGCUGAGGGACACUCCAGCUCCUCAUCCUUCGGCUUCUGUGUUCCACGCUGACUCUGCGUGGGCCACAGCAGAGUGCGUUCCAGAUACCCACCAUGGCAAACUGGCUGAUAAUACUGGCUUUACCUUCUUCCUGUCUUUCUCGCUUCUCUACUCAUGUGUUCUGGGUUUGCCCUCAAAUAAACUGCUUGUGCUCAGAUCCUUGUCAGGGAGCUCACCCUGAGACACAUUUACUGCCCUUGCUCAUUGACAGUCAACACUAGCUGGUGCUCACUGGAGAUGCCCCAGGGAAUCUGCAGGGUUCCGUCAUGCUCCUGCCUGUUUCCAGGUUGGAUUUGAAACCUAAGGUCUCCAAGAAUAUCAGUAUCAAUCAGCCGCACUCUGAGAGUUACUCCUUCACCUGCUGGCUGUUAAGGAGCUCCCUGACCAAGUGGUGACUGCAACCUUCAGUUUUGUGGAGUUCUUACUGAUGUCUCCCUCCCCUGCAAAGAGCCAGUACCUCUGACCUUUCAGAUUCCAGAUUUGGGGGCUAAGUUCCACAAGUAGGUCAUUGAGUAUGAUCAUGGAAGGGGCUGCUUUUGAUUCCACUCCUUGCUUACUGGAGUGGACUGUUUUUCUUGUCAUCAGAGACUAAAGUAUGUUGGCUGUUGGCUCAGUUCUAGCCAUUGAAAACCAGACUGUAACUUGAUUCAAUGCACAUGCUGCAUUCUUGAGAUGAGCUCCCUAACUUCACAUGUGCUGAACUCCGUUUGGCAGAUCAGCCAAGCUUUGACAAGCUGCCCCAUUCCAUCAGAUUGGCCGCUUUGGUUGAUGGUUCCAUAGUAAGACCAAGGAAUCCUGUGGCCACAAGCCCACUAACACACCACCAUUGCUAUAAAUGAGUUCCUUAUUCGGAGGCUGCCUUGGGAAAUGCAGGCUGCCUAUUGUGCCCCCUCCACCUCAACCCCUAGCCUCAAAUGGAUGGGCUGCUUAUGGAGAAGACAACCCUUGGAGAAGCAGGAGAACUACCUAUCUAUAUCCAGGAGUGAUUAGGGAGAAAGGCAGUUGGUCAUUUGCAUUCUGAGGAGACUAGACUCUAUUAUGACAUGUAAGCACUCUCAGAGAAUCCCCAGAAAUAUUUGUAAAGUAACUAUUUUCCUGUUCACAGGAUUGAAGCUUUGGUCUAAUUUGUUUGUAUAUUAAGAAAAGGGCAUGCUUAAAGGGCUGGUUAAUUUGGAAACACUCAGAUUCCAUAGGAAACGGAUAAAAGCAGAGAUGCUCUGGCCAGAGAGAGACUCCUGGCUUCCAUGAAGGGGUUCUCUGAGCCCACAGGAUAUUAGCACUGUAUUUUGCAGAUGAUCAAUAAAGGUUGGCUGGAUGAAAGAUUAAACAAAUGAAUGAUCUGUGAUCAACCACGUAAGGUCCUCUGUUUAAAGACAAGGACUGAAAGAUUUGUCAGAGCCAAAAUAACUGAGAAAAUGAAGUAUUUGGACAACUGUGCCAUUAGACAAGUUGUUUGGGUACAAAGAAAAAAAUUUUUCCAGAUAAUGCCAAAAUGAUCAUCUCAUUUCAGCAUUAUGAAAAUACAUCCAGCUGGCUAUGUUAUCCAGAAAAGCGAUCAAAUGGUCAUCUGGAUUAUUUGUCUUCAUACCAAGUAAGCAGGAUUUUAAAAACUUGUCAUCUCAUUUUUCAAUUAGCUGAGAAAAUGAGUUGUCUGCUUCAGUGUGUUAGCCUGAAUAAUAGAACUACGUUCUUUUAGGCAAAUUAUCUAUUAAAUCCACACAGUUAAAAAUUAUGUGUGCAUGUGUCUAUUUAUUAUGGGAACAAAAAAGGGACUGGAAUGGAUAAGAUAAUGUACAUCUAAAAAGUUAGAAAACAGAAUUGUCUGGGUGAGCUAGAGCUGUUCAUUUUCAUUUUACGAUAAGUAAAAGAAAGCCUUGUUAGAGUUUAAAUUCAUGAGCAUUGGUUUUGGAAAGGAAAAUAAUAAAUAGUGAGUCUUAUAGGAUAUAGGACAGUCUUAUAGGAUAUAGGACAGCUCAGGAGCCCCAGAUGUCACCCUCCUGGGGAAGAAUUCCAUCAUGGUGGGGUUGGGCUGAUCUACAGGACUCUGGGCAGUGUUUUGAUUGGUUUGGACCCUUGCCUCUAUGGUAUAAACCUAGAGAAUAAGAGAAGAAAUAAUUAGUUCUUUGAUCACUUAUCAGGACUCUAAAUAUCCUUCUCUCCAGAUCUAAGUUUUAAAACUUUUACUCAAUUCGCUAUUCAUUGACUUCCUACCAUAUGCCAGGCAUUGUGUUGGGCAUACACAUGGGGUACAUCAGUGAACAAAGAGCAUAGUUUCUGCCUUUAUGGAGCAUAGAUUAGAAGGUUGUGAGCAGCAUGUGCAUACAUAAAUACAGACUAUGCUAUGAAGGAACUAUGUGAUGUUCUAAGUACGUGAUGUACUGUGUGUAGAAGUUGGGGAUGUUGCGGGAUAGGGUGUGGUAGUCAGAGAAGUCUUUUUUGAAGACAUGACAAUUGACCUGAGAUCUUAAGGGUAACUGCCUUUAUUAUAAAGACUUUGCCAUAUGAUCAAGUAGUUCUCCUUCUGGGUAUAUAUCCAAAGGAAACAACAACAGGAUAUUGAAGAGAUAUCUGCACCCCUAUGUUCGC